CCUACGGGGGGCUGCAGUGAGGAAUAUUGGUCAAUGGCCGUAAGGCUGAACCAGCCAAGUCGCGUGAAGGAAGAAGGAUCUAUGGUUUGUAAACUUCUUUUUUAGGGGAAUAAAGGUAUCCACGUGUGGCUAUUUGCAUGUACCCUAUGAAUAAGCAUCGGCUAAAUCCGUGCCAGCAGCCGCGGUAAUACGGAGGAUGCGAGCGUUAUCCGGAUUUAUUGGGGUUAAAGGGUGCGUAGGUUGUUUUGUAAGUCAGCGGUGAAAGUUUGUGGCUCAACCAUAAAAUUGCCGUUGAAACUGGAAGACUUGAGUGUGUUUGAGGUAGGCGGAAUGCGUGGUGUAGCGGUGAAAUGCAUAGAUAUCACGCAGAACUCCGAUUGCGAAGGCAGCUUACUAAGCCAUAACUGACACUGAAGCACGAAAGCGUGGGGAUCAAACAGGAUUAGAUACCCCAGUAGUC
rnacentral:rRNA from 1 species